GACGUAGGGGGCCAGCGUUGUUCGGAAUUACUGGGUGUAAAGGGUUCGUGGGCGGUGCGGCAAGUUGGGAGUGAAAUCUCUGGGCUUAACCCAGAGGCUGCUUCCAAAACUGCUGUGCUUGAGUGUGGGAGAGGCGCGUGGAAUUGCAGGUGUAGCGGUGAAAUGCGUAGAUAUCUGCAGGAACACCCGUGGCGAAAGCGGCGCGCUGGACCACUACUGACGCUGAGGAACGAAAGCUAGGGGAGCAAACAGG
rnacentral:rRNA from 1 species